rnacentral:rRNA from 1 species
UACGGAGGGUGCAAGCGUUAAUCGGAAUUACUGGGCGUAAAGCGCAUGCAGGUGGUUUGUUAAGUCAGAUGUGAAAGCCCUGGGCUCAACCUAGGAGUUGCAUUUGAAACUGACAAGCUAGAGUACUGUAGAGGGGGGUAGAAUUUCAGGUGUAGCGGUGAAAUGCGUAGAGAUCUGAAGGAAUACCGGUGGCGAAGGCGGCCCCCUGGACAGAUACUGACACUCAGAUGCGAAAGCGUGGGGAGCAAACAGG